GGGAUCUAUUCACUGCUGUGGACGAUUUCAUAAAAUAACUAUUCGAGAAACAAGUAUUGCAGCUGUUAAUUACAGUUGCAUGAUGAUGAUAGUGAAGAUGAAAACCCUGUAGUUAGUCAUCAACCAGAGAAAGUCACAGUAGAAAUUAAUAAUGAAGCCAUAAUUACAUCCCUUUGUGCGCUCCUUGGCCAACACUAAUGUUUUGGUUCCAAAGAAUGCCUUCCAGAGACUCAACAGAACAAUGUUUUCUGCAUCUUUGCGCAAGAG